rnacentral:rRNA from 1 species
GAUGAACGCAAGCUACAGGCUUAACACAUGCAAGUCGAGGGGAAACGACAUCGAAAGCUUGCUUUUGAUGGGCGUCGACCGGCGCACGGGUGAGUAACGCGUAUCCAACCUGCCCACCACUUGGGGAUAACCUUGCGAAAGUAAGACUAAUACCCAAUGAUAUCUCUAGAAGACAUCUGAAAGAGAUUAAAGAUUUAUCGGUGAUGGAUGGGGAUGCGUAUGAUUAGUUUGUUGGCGGGGUAACGGCCCACCAAGGCGACGAUCAGUAGGGGUUCUGAGAGGAAGGUGCCCCACAUUGGAACUGAGACACGGUCCAAACUCCUACGGGAGGCAGCAGUGAGGAAUAUUGGUCAAUGGGCGAGAGCCUGAACCAGCCAAGUAGCGUGCAGGAUGACGGCCCUAUGGGUUGUAAACUGCUUUUAUAAGGGAAUAAAGUGAGUCUCGUGAGACUUUUUGCAUGUACCUUAUGAAUAAGGACCGGCUAAUUCCGUGCCAGCCGCCGCGGUAA